rnacentral:misc_RNA from 1 species
UCAACAACGUUGGAAGCUGGG